ACAUGCCUACAACAUAGCAUUAAUGCACCAGAUCCCAUAAGAACUCCAUAUUUAAGCGCGCUCAUGCUACAGUAGUAUUGGGAUGGGUGACUUCCCGGGAAGUCCUAGUGUUUGACAUGCC
rnacentral:rRNA from 1 species